UACGUAGGGUGCGAGCGUUGUCCGGAAUUAUUGGGCGUAAAGAGCUCGUAGGCGGCUUGUCGCGUCGGAUGUGAAAGCCCGGGGCUUAACUCCGGGUCUGCAUUCGAUACGGGCAGGCUAGAGUGUGGUAGGGGAGAUCGGAAUUCCUGGUGUAGCGGUGAAAUGCGCAGAUAUCAGGAGGAACACCGGUGGCGAAGGCGGAUCUCUGGGCCAUGACUGACGCUGAGGAGCGAAAGCGUGGGGAGCGAACAGG
rnacentral:rRNA from 1 species